rnacentral:tRNA from 1 species
AUCUAAAUAGCUUAUAUAAGAGCAUGACAUUGAAGAUGUCAAGGAGAUUAAUAAAUUUUUAGAUA